CCUWCGGGGGGYGCWGCCAGUAGGGAAUCUUCCGCAAUGGGCGAAAGCCUGACGGAGCAAUGCCGCGUGAGUGAUGAAGGUUUUCGGAUCGUAAAGCUCUGUUGCCAGGGAAGAACGCUUGGGAGAGUAACUGCUCUCAAGGUGACGGUACCUGAGAAGAAAGCCCCGGCUAACUACGUGCCAGCAGCCGCGGUAAUACGUAGGGGGCAAGCGUUGUCCGGAAUUAUUGGGCGUAAAGCGCGCGCAGGCGGUCAUUUAAGUCUGGUGUUUAAUCCCGGGGCUCAACCCCGGAUCGCACUGGAAACUGGGUGACUUGAGUGCAGAAGAGGAGAGUGGAAUUCCACGUGUAGCGGUGAAAUGCGUAGAUAUGUGGAGGAACACCAGUGGCGAAGGCGACUCUCUGGGCUGUAACUGACGCUGAGGCGCGAAAGCGUGGGGAGCAAACAGGAUUAGAUACCCCCU
rnacentral:rRNA from 1 species